rnacentral:rRNA from 1 species
AACGAACGCUGGCGGCAUGCCUAACACAUGCGAGUCGAACGAGACCUUCGGGUCUAGUGGCGCACGGGUGCGUAAGGCGUGGGAACCUGCCCUUAGGUUCGGAAUAACUCCCCGAAAGGGGUGCUAAUACCGGAUAAUGUCUUCGGACCAAAGAUUUAUCGCCUUUGGAUGGGCCCGCGUUGGAUUAGCUAGUUGGUAGGGUAAAAGCCUACCAAGGCGACGAUCCAUAGCUGGUCUGAGAGGAUGAUCAGCCACACUGGGACUGAGACACGGCCCAGACUCCUACGGGAGGCAGCAGUGGGGAAUAUUGGACAAUGGGCGAAAGCCUGAUCCAGCAAUGCGGGGUGAGUGAUGAAGGCCUUAGGGUUGUAAAGCUCUUUUACCCGGGAUGAUAAUGACAGUACCGGGAGAAUAAGCACCGGCUAACUCCGUG